GAUGAACGCUGGCGGCGUGCCUAAUACAUGCAAGUCGAGCGAACGGACGAGAAGCUUGCUUCUCUGAUGUUAGCGGCGGACGGGUGAGUAACACGUGGAUAACCUACCUAUAAGACUGGGAUAACUUCGGGAAACCGGAGCUAAUACCGGAUAAUAUUUUGAACCGCAUGGUUCAAAAGUAAAAGACGGUCUUGCUGGCACUUAUAGAUGGAUCCGCGCUGCAUUAGCUAGUUGGUAAGGUAACGGCUUACCAAGGCAACGAUGCAUAGCCGACCUGAGAGGGUGAUCGGCCACCCUGGAACUGAGACACGGUCCAGACUCCUACGGGAGGCAGCAGUAGGGAAUCUUCCGCAAUGGGCGAAAGCCUGACGGAGCAACGCCGCGUGAGUGAUGAAGGUCUUCGGAUCGUAAAACUCUGUUAUUAGGGAAGAACAUAUGUGUAAGUAACUGUGCACAUCUUGACGGUACCUAAUCAGAAAGCCACGGCUAACUACGUG
rnacentral:rRNA from 1 species